AUUGAACGCUGGCGGCAUGCCUUACACAUGCAAGUCGAACGGCAGCGCGGACUUCGGUCUGGCGGCGAGUGGCGAACGGGUGAGUAAUACAUCGGAACGUACCCUGUUGUGGGGGAUAACUAGUCGAAAGAUUAGCUAAUACCGCAUACGAACGGAGGGUGAAAGUAGGGGACGGCAAGGCCUCACGCAGCAGGAGCGGCCGAUGUCUGAUUAGCUAGUUGGUGGGGUAAAGGCCAACCAAGGCGACGAUCAGUAGCUGGUCUGAGAGGACGAUCAGCCACACUGGGACUGAGACACGGCCCAGACUCCUACGGGAGGCAGCAGUGGGGAAUUUUGGACAAUGGGGGCAACCCUGAUCCAGCAAUGCCGCGUGUGUGAAGAAGGCCUUCGGGUUGUAAAGCACUUUUGUCCGGAAAGAAAUCGCGCUGGUUAAUACCUGGCGUGGAUGACGGUACCGGAAGAAUAAGCACCGGCUAACUACGUGCCAGCCGCCGCCGUAA
rnacentral:rRNA from 1 species